GUUUUAAUAGUUUAAAGCAAAACAAUGAUUUUGUAAAUCAUAAAUAGGGCUAACCUUUAAAACA
rnacentral:tRNA from 1 species